rnacentral:rRNA from 1 species
UACGUAGGGGGCAAGCGUUGUCCGGAUUUAUUGGGCGUAAAGAGCGUGUAGGCGGUCAGGUAGGUCCGUUGUGAAAACUCGAGGCUCAACCUCGAGACGCCGAUGGAAACCAUCUGACUAGAGUCCGGAAGAGGAGAGUGGAAUUCCUGGUGUAGCGGUGAAAUGCGCAGAUAUCAGGAGGAACACCCGUAGCGAAGGCGGCACUCUGGGCCGAUUCUGGCACUGAGGAGCGAAAGCGUGGGGAGCAACAGG